CCUACGGGGGGCUGCAGUCGAGAGGCUUCGUCAAUGCCCGAAAGGGUGAACGAGCGACGCCGCGUGCGGGAUGAAGGUCUUCGGAUCGUAAACCGCUUUUAUUAGGAAAGAAGAUUAUGCUCGUGAAGCAUAGUUUGACGGUACCUGAUGAAUAAGCCUCGGCUAACUCCGUGCCAGCAGCCGCGGUAAUACGGAGGAGGCGAGCGUUGUUCGGAAUCAUUGGGCGUAAAGGGCUUGUAGGCGGACAGGUGUGUCUGGCGUGAAAUCUCCACUGCUUACCAGGGAGGGUGCGUUGGAAACUGCUUGUCUGGAGUAUGACAGAGGGUCGCGGAAUUCCGGGUGUAGCGGUGGAAUGCGUAGAUAUCCGGAGGAACACCGGUGGCGAAGGCGGCGGCCUGGGUCAAUACUGACGCUGAGGAGCGAAAGCUAGGGUAGCAAACAGGCUUAGAUACCCCAGUAGUC
rnacentral:rRNA from 1 species